CCUUUAAGAAAGUGACAGCAACAAGCGGCGGAGGAGCUGGUCAGGAACUGGCCAGGAGCGGACCACAGCGCACUGCAGGAAUCUCAAACUUUUCCCAACACUUUACAUUCCCUGGACAGCGAUUUCUUUCCUCAUCAGACGCUCAUCCUGUUGGAAUAUUACAUCAAAGUUUGGAUUUAGUUUGUUUCGGGGAAAAAUCGGAUGCUACUGAUGAUAUGGAGAAGGGAAAAGUUGCGGGGAGAAAACUUGUGAAAUGAUGCCCGUGCCACUGCAUCCCUCCCUCCAAAGUUUAGCUAAGGUGGCUAACGUGAGCUAGCUAAUUAUUCUGACAUAAAACAACUUUGAUCAACUAUUACCGACACCUCUACGGAGACAGUAAGUUCAAUGACGAGCGUGUUUAGUGAAUCCAUCGCUUUUAUCCUUGCCGUUGUGUCUUAGCCCGCUCACCUAACAGUAUCGAGCUAACAGGACUUAGCCAAGUGCAGCUAACACACGGACUCUCCAAGUUUGAUCAAGUUAAGCAAUGUACACAGGUAGAAAUGGCAUGCGAUGAAAAGCGUUUAGUUCACAGUAUCUCCCCGUAGAAUCGUGGUAUGUUGGACAACUUUUCUGUCUUAAUUUUGGAUAUAAUUUUCCUGAAGUUGCUGGACUGAAUUGGAUUAUCUUGGAGCAUACCUUUGCAGAGACGAGCAGCGGUGCGCACAGCCAGAGGUAUCAGUGGAUGAGGCUCGUUCACCUACAGCAGUCUUCAUCAGGACCUCUACAUUUUGGAUCCUCCGGUUUUUCUUGUACUUCCUCAGAGCUGACCUGAGUUUUGGAUGAAGUUCUACAUGCCAUGAUGAAGGUGACAGUGAGCUUUGGGCAGACGGGGAUUGUGGUCCCCUGCAAAGAAGGCUGGACUGUGAGGGACCUCAUUCAACAAGCAACACAGAGAUACAAGAAACUACUGGAACAGGAGGGAGAGUUCCUGGUUCGGACUCACCAUCUUGAAUACUGUGAUGGAGGGAUUCUGGACCCUGACGACACACUCAGCGAUCUGGUGGAAGACAGAGACAAGCUGAUGGCGGUGUACGAGGAGCAGGAGGCUCAGAGGACCACCCCGGACCCCGGCGUCAGUCCCAGCCCUGAACUGUACCACUCCGAGCUUUCCGUGUUUCAGCCAAUCACAGGAGGCGAGAUUGAAGUCACCCCCUUUGCUCUCAAGUCCAACACCCCCCUGCUGGUCAGGAGCAGUAGUGACUCCGCUCUCAACCCUCCGCCCACAGAGACCGGACCCUCUCUUCCAGAAGACCCUGCUCCUAUGAUCGCGAGCCCUGCCGUCCCCGCUUCCGACCGCUCCUAUAACAAGCACUCAUUUAACACAGGCCUGACGAGAACAGUGGAGAUCUUGGGCGAGGACAGUCCUUUGGGGAUCCAUGUUGUCCCGUACUGCUCGUCCCUCAGUGGACGGCCUCUGGGUUUGUUCAUCCGCGGCAUUGAGGAGGACAGCCGGAGCAGAAAGGAGGGACUUUUUGUGGAGGAUGAAUGCAUCGUCAAGAUCAAUACUACCGACCUCAUGGACAAGUCAUUCAGCCAAGCCCAGGAGAUCUUUCGGCAGGCCAUGCGCUCCCCUAUUGUCCGUCUGGAGGUGGUCUCAUCCUCCAACAGAGAGAGAUAUGAGAAGAGUCUGAUUGGACAGCUCUUCAACAGUACCCCGGUACCCCCAGGCCCAGAGAGCAGUCCCCGGGUCCCCAAACCCAAAGACCCCCCUCCUCCUGUCAUGGCCAAACCAGUGUUCAGACCUCCAGAGAGUACGGCCAUGAGGACACCAGAGGAGGCUGUGCCAAUGGAACCUCCUGUCCGGGCCCCCAGGAGCAGAAGCCAGAGCCCCCACUCCAGGAUAAGUCCAGGCCUGUCUAGUCUUGUGUCCAGUAAACGCGGAGGGAGACGAAUAAGGAUCGAUUUGAAGAAAGGUUCAGAGGGUCUUGGUUUCACUGUGGUGACCAGAGAUUCUUCAGUCCAUGGUCCCGGGCCCAUUCUGGUCAAAAACAUUCUGCCUCGUGGAGCGGCCGUCAAAGAUGGACGCCUGCAGUCUGGGGACCGUAUCCUGGAGGUGAAUGGAGUGGACAUCACAGGCGUGGGUCAGGAGGAGCUGGUGUCUAUGCUCCGUAGCACUCGUCAGGGAGAGAGCGUCAGCCUCGUGGUCCUACGGCAAGAGGACAUGUUCCUGCCCCGAGAAAUGAAAGAAGAUGUGCCGCGUGGUCCUUACUACAUUUCAGAGAGUGGGAAGGAGCAGCUGAUGUUUGAGAUUCCGCUGAAUGAUACAGGAUCGGCCGGACUCGGUGUCAGCCUCAAAGGAAACAAGUCCAGAGAGACUGGAGAGGACCUGGGAAUCUUUGUCAAGUCCAUCAUUCAUGGAGGGGCCGCUUAUAAGGACGGCAGACUGCGUGUGAAUGACCAGUUGGUGGCAGUUAACGGAGAAUCGCUGAUAGGACGCUCGAACCACGACGCCAUGGAAACGCUUCGGCGGUCCAUGUCUCAGGAGGGCAACGUCAGGGGGACCAUUCAACUGGUGGUCCUUAGGGUGCUACUGGAUCACAGUGGCGUGUCUCCAAACCGCUCCUUUGACAGUUCCUCGGGUCUGAGGAUGAGUCCAGUGAACGGACAAACCAACGGCACCGUUCAUCCUUCUAUGGUCAACAAUGUGCUCUAUGCAUCUCAUGUGGGCAAUGGGAGCUACAGUCACAUGGACGAGGAGGAUGGUGAGACGUACGGACAGGAAACAUCGUUCAGUAACUCCGUCCAGCAAAACUCAUAUCUGCAUGAGAGUUUCCGAGACAAUCUGAACCGCGCGUUGGCGCAGAGUCCUAACCCUCGUCAGUUUCUCCAUGUGAAGGCAUCCAAGAGCAUGGACCUGGGUACGGCCCCGAGCAGACAACACACUGUGGAAGAUGAAAGCAACAUUGGAUCCAUGGAUGAAAACACCGCAGCCUCUCCGACCCCCAUGGAGCUGGGUCCGACCCUGGGUCUGAAGAAGUCCAGUUCUUUGGAGAGUCUGCAGACGGCCAUGUCGGAGGUGAACAGGAAGAGCGACCUGCUUCCUUUCCACCGGCCGCGUGCAAAUAUGGUCAGAGGAAGAGGCUGCAACGAGAGCUUCAGAGCCGCUAUAGACAAGUCCUACGAUGGACCACCUGAGGAUGAUGAUGAUGAUCCGUCAGAGCCCAGUUCAGGCCGGGAGACUCCAAACAGCUCAUCUCGCCCAGGAACAGCGGACCAAAUGGAUGACAAAAACAAGAAGGACAAGAAGAAGAAAGACAAACCAAAAAAGAAAGAGAAGCCACCCAAACCCAAAGUAAAAGACAAGAAGGAGCCAGAGGAGGCUGAGAAGAAGGGCAAGAAGAACUGGCUGCUCAGAUUUGCGAAGAAAAAGGAUGAUAAGAAAGAAGCCAAAGCCACCUUGCAGAGGCAGAAGUCUGAUCUGAUCAGUGACGUGGAGCUGGAGAAGAUGAAGGAGGAGAGAGAAAGGAUUGAAUCUAACCAUCCAGAGCUGCGCCCCGUCCCCGCUCCCUCUUACCCCGAUGUGGAGGAUGAUGACAUGGACCCAAACUACGCUCGCAUCCAGACCUUUAGAGACCGCUCUGCCCCCUCGCCCUCUCACCCACUGUCCCAGAGUCCUCACUACAACUCCGCCCAGCACCCCAGCGCCCGCACGCCCUCUCCCCACACACCCGCUGCCUUCAACGGCUCAAUGAACUCCCCCCCUGCUCUGGAUGUUGCCCAGAUCGACCAACUCUACGCCAAAGUCAACAAGCAAAGAGGAGGAGGGGCAGCGUCUCCAGUCGCUCCAGUAUCAGCCAAUGAUAGUGUGGACAGGAUUCAGCAGCUGAGGAGGGAGUUCCAGCAGGCUCGCAGAGAGGGGAUGGUGCCUCCAUAUGAAGAACUGGACCAGAGACGAAGAGCACAUGACAACGAUCCACACAGGAUGGGACCCAGGGACCCCCGAAUGGCCCCGCGAUAUGAAGAAGUGGAGCGACAGUACGCCUCUCUACCCAGGAGAGGCCCCCAGGAUCCGUCGGACUACCCCAUCCAGCAGCAGCAGCCCUGGCCUGGACACUACCAGGGACCCCCCCAGAACCACCAGGCCUACUCCCAAAGCCCGGCCUAUCCCAACCACAAUGUUAACCCCCAGAGUCCGGUCUAUUCCAACCACAGCGCAAACCCAGCAGGCCCGUACUCCUACACGGGGGGACCGGCCUACACCAGAGACCCGAGAACUGUGGAGCCCGGAUACUACCCACACCCCAGCAUCUCUUUCUGGUGUUUAGCUCACAGCAGAGGGGUCCCCUUCGACAGGAUGUCCCGCCGUCUCCCACCCCUCCAAUGAGAGGCCUGCGCUAUGACACCAUGACCAGAGGAGCAGUGGGAGGAGGCUAUAGGUAGAAUAUGUCAGACAUCUGCCACUCCCUGGUUGAAAUCACUAAAGCUGUACAGGGGACAGACGAAGACUUCACCAAACCCACUGAAUGCAGCUGUGUGCAUCUCUUCUAUAUUUUUCUAAAGGGCCUCAACAGCAAGCAGUGUUUCUAUUGGUACAAUGAACAGCCAAUGAACAAAGUCAGUGCUGUCUUAUAAUGCACUCUCACACUAUAUACUACUAUAUGGUACAAAAUAACUCAUCAAACAUUGAAAA